CCAGGCCCCAAACAAGAACGAAGCCGAUUUUUGUGUCUCCUCUCUUUAACUUUAUUUCAUCAAAUUAGCUCUUAAAAAAAAAAAAAAAAAGGAGGGGGAGAAAUAGUAGGAGUAGUACGGUAGAGGAAGCCUUCCUCGCCAACUUACGGAAACUUUUAAAGGGCUUGGGGGCUUUGAAAAGAAGCUUGUCUCCUUUUUCCAGAGUCGAAGGAGGAGGUGGUCGUGGCUUCUUCUAGAGGGGCACAGCUUUCCACCCUGUGGAUCACCACUUCGAACAAUGUCUCCAGAUUCUGAAAUGAAGAUGAGAAGGUGUCUUCUGCGGUGGUGAUCAUGGCCUGCAAAGAAGCAGAUUCUUCUGGCUGCACCAUGAAAGUAAGAUGCUUCUCACUGCAUUCCACCAGAAAUGCACAGACGGCUUCUACAAUGACUUCACUCACUGCAUUGCAACACUGCACUCUGGCCAAGUGCUGGAGUUUGCUAAUUUGUGUGUUUUCACUGGAGACCUGCUGAUUCAAUCAUUCUAAAGAUGCCCAUUUCUUCCACGCCAGAGAUUUUAUGGCUCAGAGGAUUAGAAUCUUUUAUCCCAACAAACCCUGGAGCUCUAUAUAUUCUGAUUUUUAUGGUAAGCUUCUCUAAUAAACUGUUUAAAAC
rnacentral:lncRNA from 1 species